rnacentral:rRNA from 1 species
AUUGAACGCUGGCGGCAGGCUUAACACAUGCAAGUCGAGCGGAGAUGAGGUGCUUGCACCUUAUCUUAGCGGCGGACGGGUGAGUAAUGCUUAGGAAUCUGCCUAUUAGUGGGGGACAACAUUCCGAAAGGAAUGCUAAUACCGCAUACGCCCUACGGGGGAAAGCAGGGGAUCUUCGGACCUUGCGCUAAUAGAUGAGCCUAAGUCGGAUUAGCGAGUUGGUGGGGUAAAGGCCUACCAAGGCGACGAUCUGUAGCGGGUCUGAGAGGAUGAUCCGCCACACUGGGACUGAGACACGGCCCAGACUCCUACGGGAGGCAGCAGUGGGGAAUAUUGGACAAUGGGCGGAAGCCUGAUCCAGCCAUGCCGCGUGUGUGAAGAAGGCCUUUUGGUUGUAAAGCACUUUAAGCGAGGAGGAGGCUACCUGGAUUAAUACUCUAGGAUAGUGGACGUUACUCGCAGAAUAAGCACCGGCUAACCCUGUGCCAGCCGCCGCAGUAAGAC